rnacentral:lncRNA from 1 species
UUAUGUGCGUAUGUGAUCACCCUAGUGGGAUUCAUUAACAAUUCAUUGGAAUUGUAGUGUGACUAGGGUGGUUGACUCAACUAAAAAGAUGAUUUAAUUUACAACAUAUUCCUGCCAAAGUUAGUUACAAAUUCUCACUUUUUGCGCUUGAAUAGGAAUUCAGCCCCAUGUUACGUUGUUCCAUUUUGAUCUACCUCAAGCACUUGAAGAUGACUAUGGUGGAUGGCUAAGCGAAAAGAUAGUGUGAGUCUCUUUUCUCGUUUUCUUAGCUUUAAUUAUUAUAAUAGAGAUGUGGUUCAUGCCUUGCACGAAAUUACUAUUUACAGUUUAUUGAUGUCAUCUCCUUCAUAAUUGUAUAAUUAUCAUUUGGAAUUUUGGAUAUAGGGAUGAUUUUACAGCAUAUGCAGAUGUAUGCUUUAAAGAAUUUGGCGACAGAGUCUUGCACUGGACCACUAUAAAUGAGCCCAACACGCUCGCCUUGGGAGGUUAUGACCUCGGAAGUCUUCCACCUCAGAGGUGUUCUUAUCCAUAUGGGGCUAAUUGCACAAAAGGCAACUCCACUGUGGAGCCGUAUAUCUACACUCAUAAUAGCUUACUGGCACAUGCUUCAGUAGUAAGAUUGUACCAGAAGAAGUACCAGGUAUUUAAUUGUUGUCUUCAUGUAGAUUUGGUUAAUUGAUAGGAACCAAUUUUGUAGAAGCAGACCUGUUAUUUGUUUGUUGGCUGUUCAUAAUUUGAGAUUGAUGGUAACGAUGUAGGCCAAACAAAAAGGAUUUAUUGGCAUGACUGUCUGUACUUUCGGGUUGGUUCCACUUACAAAUUCUGUGAAAGACUUGAAAGCAACUCAACGAGCUUCUGAUCUUUUAAUGGGUUGGUAAGCCACUGUCUCCUAACAUCAGCAAAGCUAAAACUUCAAAUGGUAUUCUAAGAGAUCUAUAACAGGUUCAUCAAUCCACUGAUGUUUGGAGACUACCCUAAAACCCUUAAGAAGCACGCUGGCUCAAAGAUCCCCACUUUUACCCCACAACAGUCAGAACUAGUAAAAGGCUCUUUUGACAUCCUAGGACUGAAUUACUAUAAGACAGUGCAAAUCGCGGAUGAUUCAAACAGUUUAAAGCUGGAAGAGAGAGAUGCAUACAAAGACAUGGAAGUGAAGCGAAUAGGUAUGCAUAGUUAAUUCUUUUGACAGUAGGAUUUAGUGGUCAGAAAUAUUUCUAUAUUUUGGUUGAAUGUCAUUGACCUCAUAUUUUGUCCGAUCCAGUUAUUCAGGGAAUCGAUAAAUCUUCACAGUAGACUAGUUCUUUGUUGGUCUACAACAUUGCAAUUCUCACACCAUUAUUUUUUAGAAACUGUGUGCCUGAUGUCUAUAACUCAUGAUAGAACUAGAUAUAUGCAUACUUAGAAAACUGUUCUUUUCUGCCAACUUACAAACUUACAUCUGUUGCAGAUAUCUGGAAUGGAGGGUCCUAUGACGAGGUAGGUAUAUAAAUGUUUUCACGUAACACGUGUUUUUAUUUAAAGUGCUAUAUAUGACGUAAAUGGGUUGAUUCAGAUACAAUUGGAUCCUUUGGGUCUGGAAGUAGUGCUGGAGCAUUUCAAGCAAGUUUAUCAAAACCCUCCUAUCCUUAUCCAUGAAAAUGGUAUUAAUUUUCUCCUACUUCUAGUCAUAGGAAGAAUCUGCAUUGAAGUUAGUAUAGGCUCUGCAUUCAGCUCCACUCAUACCAAUUUUAUUACCAUAUAUAUAUAUUUGGUUGAUCAGUACUAUAACAUCACGUAUUAUUGACUUGGUACGUGUUUUAAAAUAUGGUGGCAGGUCAAAGAACUUUACAUAAUGCACCAUUACAUGACACAUCAAGGAUAGAAUAUUUGGCUGGUUUCAUCCAAAGUUUACUCAACGCGAUCAGGUAUUUUGGUUGGUUUUAUUGUGAGAAUCAUUCUUACUUCUUAGUCUCAUAAACAAAUGUGUGGACCUAUUUGAGCUUCGUUUCAUAAAAGUGUUCUACAAAUUCUUUAACAACAUAUAUCUGACGAGGUCAAUCUUAUUGUUUUCAUUUUGAAGGAACGGAUCGAAUGUCCGAGGAUAUUUUUCAUGGUCCUUCUUAGAUCUCUUCGAACUGAUUGAAGGCAAAGAAGCAAGCUAUGGUCUGUAUUAUGUAGAUUUUAAUGACCCAGAUUUGAAGAGACAGCCUAAGCUCUCUGCACAUUGGUACUCUGAUUUUCUUAAGGGAGGAAACAUAAGUUCUGAUGGAAUUAAGAUGUUGGAGAGAAGUAGUACUUCUAGUUUCUCUCAAACCUCCUAUUAUGCUCAGUAGAACACGUACUUCUUUUAUCCAUUUAUGUACAACAUUUUCCACUCUAUUAUUACAAACUAUUAUGUUGAUCCUACAAAACUUGUCUUUCUAUCAACAUUUGGUUCCCCACAAGGAUUGCAUCGAAUAAUGUUCAAUAGUCUUGUUACAUUUUUCUCAUUAAAGUUUAUUCGAGUAACGAGCCUUACCCCUACAAGAAACAAUAGAUUAAUUCCUAGACUUCCUAAACUUCCCAAUUUCAAGUUUAUCUGUAACAUAACAUCCUAUAGCUAUGUUAACUCUGGAGGACCAUCAUUACUUCAAUGGAACAUACACAAAUGACAAAUGGACAUUGCAUUUUCAUACCAAAUACAUAUAGAGAUGGUUUUGCUAAAAAUUGAAUGACAUACAGACAUACAGUACUAAAAUGCCAAUAAUUUCAAUAAAUAUUGACAGACAUAUAUGGGUCCAAAAUAUGGAUAUGGCCUACCCAAUUGCCCUUUGCCCAAGCCAAAAAAGUUCCAAUGGCAAAUGCAUAGACAAUGAUAGUAUGAUACAGUAUAUGAUUCCCUUUCCACCUUUUAAAUCUGUCAAAAAAUAAUUGAGAAUGACAAUGCAUGAAUGAGACGUGAACAAAAUGUACAGUUUAGUGAAUAAUUUUUUUUUAUUACAAAUGGAAAUUUUUGUGUUAUAAACUAGAUCUCACCACUCAAAAUACAAGAAGAUAUGUUUUUGAGGAUUCCUUCCCUUUCUUCUUCUAUUUGUUUACAAUUUUUUCAUCAUGUUGCACUACUAGUAAUAGUAGUGGUGGUGGUUAGUGUUAUUAGUCAUGUUCAUUCAUCAGAGAAUACCCUCACCUUUAGCAGACAAGAUUUCCCACCAAACUUUGUUUUUGGCUCUGGAACCUCAGCUUAUCAGGUCAGUAGUUACAGUUAAGAGUCACUGGAUCUUUUCUUUUCUUUUCUGUACUACUGUCAUGACUCAUGACUAUAUAUGUUCUAUAUGUUUGUUUUGGCUUAAAGUCUUAGAACUCUAGUUGAUUAUAUAUUGAUAAAAUGUGUGUGUGCUAGGUUGAAGGUGCAGCAGCAGAAGAUGGAAGGACACCCAGUGUUUGGGAUACCUUUGCUCACUCUGGUUUGUUUUUCUUCUACUGUACUUGUUUCCAAUUUCUUCUUCUGCUAUAUAAUACUGCAAAAACUAUACCAAAAACUGGAAAUCUUGAUGGAAUCUAUCAAGAAAUACAUGUUAAUGUGUCCAUUAAUUGAUGGGCAUCAAGAACAAAUGUAUGUCUAUCUCCACUUAAUCACUUGAUGGUUCAUAUCCUCUGCCCUUAGAUACCAUCUUCUAAUCCUCAAUCCCCAAUUAGGGAUUUUCUUUGUUGCGUUAUAAUGGGAAUGUUUAAUUUAGGUCACAAUACAUUAUGUCUGCAAGCAUUAGGGGAAUAAGUUGUUUACAGACCUUUAAUUUUUACUUAGUGUUGUUUUUUCUUCUCCAUUUAUAUAAUUGAUUUACACAAAAAAAUACUGUAAUAAAAGUAUAUUAUGUUGGUUCUUAGUUUGAAUUCUCUUAAAGGCGCAACUUUGGCUGCCAACUUACAAAUUAAUGGAAAUUUAUUGCACUCAAAGAACUGAACAAACCUUCUGAAAGAAGGUGAUUUUCAGUUUAUACUUUAUACAAUCCAUUUGGUGUCUCACUUUUCAAAAUUUUGCAUUACAGGCCGUUUGAGGGACAAAAGCAAUGGGGAUGUGGCAUGUGACCAAUAUCACAAAUAUAAGGUGCUAUGAAUUUUGAAUCACAGACAUAAUGUAAUGGGUCGUGGUUUGCUCUUUCUACUCAUAAUCAGCUGUUAAUUACUGUGAAACAUAUUCCCCAAACUAUUUCUAUAACAGGGCUGGAUGAUCAAUGUGCUAAUGGAUUGAAGUUCUGUGAUUGUUUAAGUUUCUUAGUGAAAUCUCUUGCAGGAAGAUGUUCAACUCAUGGUAGAUACAGGGCUGGAAGCCUACAGAUUCUCUAUUUCAUGGUCAAGGAUUAUCCCAAGUAUGAAUAACGGAAUUACAACACAAUUUGCUGAAUGUUUUCUUCUUAAAAAGGAAUGUUAGAAAUGUUUUGAAAGAUGAUAUAUAUGAUACUCUUUUUUUCUAUUUAUUUAGAUGGGAAAGGACCUGUCAACCCAAAGGGCUUACAAUAUUACAACAAUCUUAUUGAUGAACUCAUCAAACAUGGUAAUACCCGACUUUGUUAAGAGAUCUUUAAUUUUUUCCUUAUAAACGAAUAACAUCGACCAUAGGAGCUACAAUAAUCUUUAAAGCAGAUCAAUCAUAACAUGUGGAACAGGAUAGUCUUUAUUUAAUGAACCGAAAGUUUAAAUUAGGGCUGUUCAAAAGCAAGGUAGUUAGUUUGGACUCAACAAAUUUUUAUUCUUCUGACUAGUCAGAUUGCUUGGAAAUGUCAAGUUCUAUGUGUAAGUGGUCACCUAGUGGGAUUCAACAACCAAUUCAUUGGAUUUGUAUUGCUACUAGGGUGGUUGAUUCAACUAAAAAGAUGAUUUACAACAUAUUCCUUGAAAAAGUUAGUUACAGGUUCUCACUUUUUGCGUUUGAAUAGGAAUUCAGCCCUGUGUUACGUUGUGCCAUUUUGAUCUACCUCAAGCACUUGAAGAUGACUAUGGUGGAUGGCUAAGCGAAAAGAUUGUGUCAGUCUCUUUUCUCGUUUUCUUAGCUUAAUUUAUUAUAUUAUUUUGCUAAGAGAUGUGGUGCAUGCUCCACACCAAAUUACUUUUGCAGUUUAAUGAUGUUAUCUCCUUCAUAAUUGUAUAAUUAUCAUUGGAUAUAGGGAUGAUUUUACAGCAUAUGCAGAUGUAUGCUUUAAAGAAUUUGGCGACAGAGUCUCGCACUGGACUACUAUAAAUGAGCCCAAUUCGGUUGCCUUGGGUGGUUAUGACCUUGGAAGUCUUCCACCUCAGAGGUGUUCUUAUCCCUAUGGGGAAAAUUGCACGAAAGGCAACUCCUCUGUGGAGCCAUAUAUCUACACUCAUAAUAGCUUGCUGGCACAUGCUUCAGCUGUAAGAUUGUACCAGAAUAAGUACCAGGUAUUUAAUCAUUGUCUUCAUAAAAUUUGGUUAAUUGAUUGUGAACC